AUUGAACGCUGGCGGCAGGCCUAACACAUGCAAGUCGAACGAGUGGCGGACGGGUGAGUAAUGUCUGGGAAACUGCCUGAUGGAGGGGGAUAACUACUGGAAACGGUAGCUAAUACCGCAUACCAUCAGAUGUUCCCAGAUGGGAUUAGCUUGUUGGUGGGGUAACGGCUCACCAAGGCUACGAGCCCUAGCUGGUCUGAGAGGAUGACCGGCAACACUGGAACUGAGAAACGGUCCAGACACCUACGGGAGGCAGCAGUGGGGAAGAUGGCACAAUGGGCGCAAGCCUGAUGCAGCAACGCCGCGUGUAUGAAGAAGGCCUUCGGGUUGUAAAGUACUUUCAGCGGGGAGGCGUUACAAGCAGAAGAAGCACCGGCUAACUCCGUGCCAGAAGCCGAGGUAAUAC
rnacentral:rRNA from 1 species